UCUCCGUUGGUGAACCAGCGGAGGGAUCAUUACAGAGUUACUACUCCAAACCCAUUGUGAACCUUACCUUAUGUUCUGUUGCCUCGGCGGCGUCGGUCAGCGCCCCUCUGAAAAGAGGACGAUGCCCCUCCCGCCGGCAGCACCAAACUCUUGAAUUUUACAGCGGAUUACAGUUCUGAUUUGAAAACAAAAAACAAGUUAAAACUUUCAACAACGGAUCUCUUGGUUCUG
rnacentral:misc_RNA from 1 species